rnacentral:snRNA from 1 species
GGUUUCUUUUUCUCGACCCG